AAAAGAAAAAAAUACAUAAAGUACUAUUGUUGAAAAUAAGAUAAAGAACUAUCGGUAUCUUUAAGAAUUUGUUGGAUAUGAGUGAAGUGGCAGUCGCAAUCCUAUUUCUUCACGUGAAGAAAGUUGCUCCUUCAGCUGCGUAGUGGAUUCAUUGUCCAUCUGUCUGAUGAAUCUCAUCACUUCGGUUCUGAAUUAACCUAUAGAAACCAGUUAAAAAUAUAUAUAUAACCCAAUAUAAUUAUAAGAACAAUAAUAUCAAAAUGAGAGAGUUCUAGACCGCUGAUUCAUUUACGGCGAUCGGUUUCCGUAAAUGAUUACUCGACGCCACAAUGGUUGGUCGGCUAAUAUCUACAUAAUAUUUCAUUUAAAUAAUUACUCGACGCCACUAUGUAUUAUUAUCUCUCAGAAAAUUGUUCUCUAUCGUCAUCAUUAUAAAUGUAUUACCCCAAAUACUAUAGAGAAAAUCUACAAAAAUAAUGUAGAAAACAUAUUAAUCCCUCACGAGAAUUUAUCCAAUUUUGAAGCUUUCUGAAAAAUAAAUCAAUUAUACAGAAUCUGAAAAAUGGGACCAGUCUUGCUUCCAGAGCAAAAUGCUUUCAAGUUUUUCAUCAUUAUUUUUUUUUCCUCUGAACUGAUGAUAUUCAUCUAUAUUAUUAAAAGAGAAGUACCCAUUAAAAAAUAUCUCUAAGUUUUCUAACUUAUUUACACUUCCAUGCCACUGAAAAUUAAAUUAAACUACAUAUUUUAGUGCUUGUCUUUUUCAGUUAAAUUAAUGAGUUUUCUUUAAUCAAAUUUAAACUUAAUGUCAUUAAAUUAACUUACAUAUUAUAAUGCUUGUAUUAUUCAGUUAAAUUAAUAAGUUUUCCUCAAUCAAAUUUAAACUUAAUAUCAUUAAAUGAACCUAAAAAUACAUCAUAUUUAACGUAGCUUAUUACGGACGAGUACGGCCCAAUAAUGAACUUGAAUUUUAUUUUUACGAAAACGUGAAUCACUUGACGUAUGUAAUAUUUAAAAUAUAUUAACUACAAUAUAACAAAUGCAUAUAACCUUCCUAUACUUUAGUUUGAAAUGAUCAUGCUCAAGUUUUAUAUAGUCAACUUACAUCAUGCAUCGAUUGAUGUACAAUAUUCAAACCACCUAUAGUUUUUAUUUUCCUUAUAGGAUGUAUCAAAACAAAAUCUAAUAUCUUCUAUUAAUCAAAACAAAAUAUUUUCAAUGUCAUAUCUUUAAUAUACCUAUUAAAUAUAGAAACUGUAACCAUAAUUACACUAAUUAUAAGAAUAGAUUUGAUUACAACCAAUUGAUCUAUUACUUCGGUAAUUGAUUUGCUCUCAGAAGAGGAAACAAUAGAUUUUAAAUUUGUAAGAAAAUAAAGAUAUAGAGAUUCCAACCAAUUGCCUAUAUUUGCAUAUGAUUUUCGCAUAAUAAGCUUCAAAUUGAACAUUGAAAAAGAUAUAGAUUUUUUUAAUCUUUUAACCGACACAGAACUUAAACAAAAUGAAAAGUUAAAUGUAAUUUUUUUGUUACACUUCCCAGAAAAAAACGGUUACAACAUGAGUUUCAUAAUAUGACCUUUUAACAUAUUAAUGUUAUGGAUAUUUAAUAAUUAUCUUGACGAAAAACAGAGACCAUAAAUAAUUUAGUAUUAAUAAAAUUAUGAAAUUAUUUACAAUUUGAUGACUAAUUCAUCACAUUUUUUAUAUGUUAAAUUUUUCAUAGAAGUUUAAAAAUCAUUGUAUUUUCUUUAAUCAUGUAUAACUAAUUUAUAAUAUUUUAUGCCAUACUAAGUCAUAAUAUAAUAUUUCUUCAUAUUUUACAUUAAUAACCAUUAUUUUUAUACAAUUCUCUAAUUACGUCGGCUUGUUCUAUUUUUUAUAUGAUAUCGAAUAUUCGUCAUAAAUAGAUGGUUUAAGAUGCCGAAAAAUUAUUUACUUAGUGAAUAUAAUACUUCAAAUAUUAAAAAAACAUAAUUUAGUUAAAUAAAUAACCAAAACUGAAAAUUCUUAUCUGCGCUCGCUCGCGGGUCAGGGUCUAGUUAAAAGUUAGAACACAAGUUUUGUUAGAGAUGCUGGCGGAUAUCAUAAAAUCCCCAGAAACAAAAACCUAAAGAAAGACAACUAUAACCCACACUAGGACAACUUUCAAAUACAACAUAAACACGGAACGAAACCUAAGCUAGGAACCGCAGCUAAAACAUAACCAACAAAAACGAGCUACACAAAGGUAAAGGACGAUUCAGCAUAACCAAUGUUGCCACGUACUAGAUAGCAAUGAUCUGGAUAUAUCGCAGCUGCCCUUAGCUCGUCGUACGAUACCUUCCACUUCUAGAACCGAAGACACCGAGUCUUCUCAUCCCGGAUCUAUCGCUACCGUCUAUGGCCGGUCAAACGAUACCAUCCCCAACUAGAAACCUAAAACCAUGACUUCACAACCCGACAAGCCUGAGCGCUUCACGCUCCACAUAACUCUCAAUACGGCUGGAACGCAUUUUUGACCCUCCUUUACACCAAGACAGAAGUCCAUCAUAACCCAACAAACACACAAACCUCGUCAGUCACUCAGCUCCUAUUAAAAAUGAAAUCCGCACCAACCUGAACCGACAAGAGAACACUGCUACUACCACAAUAGGAAAAGGAGACUGCACCUGAAGUCCAAGCUCUGUAUUGCCAUUGAACACAUUCUCAUGACAGAGAAACAAGGCUCAAACAAACUACCGAGCAAACAAGAAAAACAAGGACAAGCCAUCACUAUAGACCUCCAACGAAACAGGAACAAGAGAUGAAGAGCACAAAAAGAGAAUCAAAAGAUCAAAAUCAGCGGCCAAAAAUUACUACAGUACCAAAACGACCAAACCCUAGGUAACAAACCCAGAUCUGAAUCGAAGGGGAGAGCUCCAAAUCACAAGCUCGCCGUACUAGAUCUGAACCAAGACUCCAAAUCAACUCCGAAGACAGCAAGAGAUAUCACCGGCGCUCAAAACAAAUCUUUUCACCCCUCCUCACCUUAAAUCACGAUUGUAAAACACUUGCCCAGAAGAAACUACACACAGAAAACAAGGAAACCCUAGAGCUACACACUCCUCUCACAGCGCUGUGGAGGCCGCCGGAAAGGAUGAAACCCACAACCUUUUCUCUCUUUUUUCUCGCCUUUUUUUUUAGGUUAUAUGAUUUCUCGGAUUAUAUCUUUUUCAUCACUAUUUACUAUAUUAUUGUUCGUAGGAUAUUUUCAGAAACAAAAACAAUCAAUCAACAAUAUAAACUUCUUUAGCAAAUACUAAAUGAUCCUUAAAUAUUUUUCUUGUCUUGAUAAUCAUCACUCACGAAAACAAUGCAAGAAAUAUUAAACAAACGGUGCAUUGAUGUAUUUCUUUUCUUUUUGUUACAAUUUAUUAGUUACUGUAUCUGAGUACUUCGAUUAGCAUGAUUAUAAGGAAGAUAUUAUAUUUGUGAACUUUGUGCACAUGGACACAUAAGAAUUCAUGGAGUUGCAGUACAUUUACGACAUACUUUUUCACCAUUUCCAAAGAGUGAGGUUUGCCUGUUUUUAAUGAUGGAUGAACUUGUAAAGCAAUAAGGUUCAAUCCAUUUCGUGAAAUAGCUAAACUCCAACAACAUUAUGCAUUUAUCUCAAAACAUUUAUUUUCACACACAUAAUAAUAAUAAUAUUUCAUAUUUACAUUCUGGUUAUUAAUUUUUUUAAUAUCGUGAAGAAUCAGAAUAGAUAUGUCUUAUAGAAAAAAAAUUAUGUCUUAUCAUAUACAAGAAAGUGUAAUUUUCAAAAAGAAAAAAAUAGUAUAUUUUUCAAUUUUAAAUAAUAAAUAGUGUACUUUUAAAAUUAUCAUAACUUUUAAGUUUAGUAUUUCGAAGUUGGGUAGGUUUAAGUUUUUUUAACAAAUUGGGUAAAUCAAUUUACAAAUUUCAAAUGACAUUUUUGUUUAACGAUGAGGAUUUGAAGGAUCCAUCUUAUAUUGAGAAAAUUGGUUUGAUUGGAUUCCAAAAACAACCAAAUCUUUACUUAUGAAGAUACUCGCUUUGAAUUUUCCCGGAUAUGACCUCACAGUUUGACAUAUUCAAAAGAUGCAUUGUAAGCAUCAUCUAGGAGUACUUUUUCUUUUAGAGACGAAAAAUAGAAAAAACUGUAUUGCAAAACAUCAAAGUGGAUAUGGAGUUAUGAUCAUAUAUUUACCGUUGAGUCACUUGGCUUGAGGGGAGGAUUUGCAUUGCUUUUAUGGAUGAUUACCAAGUUCGAGUUUUAUUUUCAAAUAAUAAAACCAUUGAUGUAGAAGUAUCCAUUGAUGGAAUAAGGUAUACAUGAUGAGGAUACCUAGUUUUAGAGUGGGAUCAAGUAUAGGAAUGUCUUACGUGUUUUGCAACAUCUUGAAAUAGACCAUGGUUGAUGAUCAGAGAUUUCAAUGAGAUACCAGGGCACCACGAAAAAGAAAGGGCAGAAGGCACUCAGAGAGCUCCUUUUCUACAUUUUACUCAGAUGUUGAGUGAUUGUGAAAUGCAGAAAUUCACUUCUUCUGGAAACAUGAUACUGUUAGAUGACGAUUAGACCGAGCUCUUGGAAAUGAAGGCAAGCAUGAAAAAUUUCAUCAUUUGACAGUUCAGUAUUUGUGGUGAUUGAAUCAUUGGCCGGUCCUAUGAACAUUCUCGCUAAACCAAUUAAGGCCAAGAAAAAAAACUUAAAUUUGAUAAGUGAUUGACAGAUAGUGAAAAGAUUAGGCAGGUGAUAUUGGAGGGUUGGAACUCACCAGAUCUUCUGCAGAUUUAAAUAUCAUGACACAUAUCUCAAGUUUCUGCAGAGCUUUGGGCCCAUGGAGAUGAAAAAAUGAUAUAAACUCGGAUAAGCAUGCGGAAGAGCUCGAAGAGAAAGUAGAGUCAUGUACACAAAUGAUGAUACAUCCUCCGAGGAGUUAGCGACUGCUUUAAAGGAAUUAUAUGAUGCUCUAAAGGAGCGAAAAAUGUUUUGGAAACAAAAGAUUAGGGUGCUUCGGUGGAGGAAGGGGAUAGGAACUCAAAGUUUUUCCAUGCGCUAACCCAAGCCGAGAUGGGAGAGAAGCAGAAUUAUACAUCUAAUUGAUGAUUUGGGUAAUAUGGUCAAGAUAGAAAAGGGACUGGUAGCUACUGCUAUGAGUUAUUUCAGAAAUAUUUUUGAGUCAUCAAACCCUAGAGAGAUCAAUGAAGCGCUAGAAAAUAUAGCCUCGACUAUCACAGAUACAAUUAACGAGGAUCUUACAUAUUCGGUUACAUAUUGGGAAGUCAAACUUGCUCUGUUUGUGAUGCAUACAAAAAAGCUCAUGGGCCAGAUGAAAUGAUAUUUUGUUCUAUCAGAAAUUUGGGAUAUAGUAAAAGGAGAUUUAGCUCGUAUGCUUAAUGAUUUCGUUUUUGAACGUAUUAUGGUGCAAGGAUUAAAUGAUUAAAAAUGUGUCUCAUUCGUAAGAAAGACAAGCCUACAAAGAUGGCGCUAUUUUGCCCAAUCAGAUUUGUGUAAUGUUAGUUACAAGAUGAUUUUCAAGGUCUUACGUUAUAGACUAAAGCGAGUAUUAUUUGACCGUAUAUCAGAGAUCCAGUCAGCUUUUGUUUUGAGGGACAGAUCACUGAAAAUAUUGUCAUUUCUCAAGAGAUGCUCCAUGCGCUCAGAACAAAUCUAGGAGGAAGAAAUAAGAAAAUAGCCAUAAAAACAGACAUGAGUAAAUAACAUGAUCAAAUGGAAUGGGAUUUUAUUAGAAUUGUUAUGUAGAAGAUGGGGUUUUCGGCAACCUGGAUUAACUGGAUAAAGUGUUGUAUAACAUAUGUUAAGUAUCAUGUUAUGAUGAAUGGUCAUAAUAGAGGCAACAUGGUCCCUGAGGGGGGAUUACACGUCAAUGAAAUCCUUUGUUUUCUUUCAUCUUUAUUCUAUGCAGAGAAGUACUCGCCAGCCUUCUUAAUCAUGCGAAGAAUCAAGGAAGAUAACGGUGAUGUUCUUGUCAUGCGCUAUCCUCCCGUGUCACACAUUUUUCACUGAGGAUAUCUUUUUCUUCUGUGAGGCGGAGCCACGUGAAUGUGUUGAAGUAAUGACAACAGUAAAGGUAUAUGGAAAAGCAACGAGCCAGUGAAUCAAUUUGAUAAUUAUUGUAUACUCUUUGGUAAGAGAGUGCCUGGUAAUUUUAAAUCAAACGAUCAAAUAUUCAUUUCUUAUUGAUAACGAAAACAUGAAGGGUUCACGUCUGGGAAUUCCAGAGGAUAUCAGUAGAUAAAAAUGUAAACUUUUUGUGUUUCUCAAAGAUAAAUUGCACAUAGGGUUAAUAGAUGGUAUGCUCAAUGGUUAUCAAAAUAAAAGAAAGAGAUUCUGAAAACAAAUUCUCUAGCUCUCCCAACCUAUGUUAUGUCCAUCUUUCUGUUACAAUUGGAUAUCUGGGAAAAGCUCACUAGUGCCAUUGCAUGACUAUAGUGGAGCUCAAAUAUAAAAGAAUGAUGCCUUGGAAAAAUGGGAAAAGCUGUGUUAUCCAAAAGAGGAAUGCGGUCUUGGUUUUCAUAUGAUCCAUGAUUUUAAUCUAGAAUUACUAGCAAGCAGUACAACCCAAUUGCCAAUACCAGAGAUGGCAAAAUGGAGGCUUGCCCGUGGGCCUGGCCCGUAAAGACCCAAUGCGGAGCGGAAUUAGGCACAUAUUUUACGUCCCAUUAAUUUUGCGGGCCUCGCGGGCAUAACUGCGAUGGUAUUGGGCCGAAGCGGGUUGGGCCAAAGCAGGACGCGGGACAAUUGUAUGGCCCGCUUGAUUCUUUCAAUUCGUCUCUUUGGUGACACCGACUUCUCAUCUCUGCUUCUCAUUUUCCCAAACCGGUGACCAUAACUCAUUCAUUUCGGUCAUGCCUCUUCCGGUUUGCUUCCGGUCUCUUCUCUUCAAACUUUGUAAUGUUGACCAAAACUUAUUCACUUUCUUUGUAACUCAUCGCAGGGAAAAAGGUUUCGUUUCUGAAGUGAGUGUGGGUGGAGAAAAUGUACACACGACUUGUUUUUUGUUCUUGUUUUCUGGAUGAAGUUCAAGUAAUAUUGUUAUAGUUGAUAAAGUUACUAAUAUCCUGUGAUACUAAUGCUUCUAUAUAGGUGUUUGUGUUAGAAUCAGUCUAUACAUGAAGAUUAAGUAGACAAUUGAUUAAACAAUAUGUUUCCUUAAACGUUUAGUUGACCAUUGGCAUUAUGAUUUCUCGAGACUAUUGAACACUUACAGGGUGCUUACCUUGGAAGAUGCUUACUAUGACAGGCAGAAACUCACCGGAAGUUCAGGGUUGCAGCGUUAUACCAAAGGUCAUGCAUGGAGCACAUGACUCCAUGGGUUUAGAUGUGGCAAAGAUGGCUUAUCAUGUCAAUUAUCUAGGGAGGUUACAUAUAAAUUGCUUGCUGAUUCACUUCACUGACUUCAUCUUUUUCAAUCAGGCUUUCAUGGUUAUCUCGGAAAAUUUGAAUUGUUGGGCGUCUUUUACAGUAUGAUUAAGUCUGGCAUUAGGCAGUUAUAGUUUACUGUGAGGGUUUUUCUUCUCUCUUUUAUUUUUGACAUUAGCCACAUGAUUUAAAGCUUUUGUCUUGCCUGAGAACUUGAUGGUAGCAGGAGCUUUUACUAUUACAAAAUCUUGCGGUUCUUGUUGUUAGCUACACACUGAAUCGUAUUGUUAUAACUUAAUAUGGAUUUUUUUUAUCUAGUUUAGUUAUCUUGUUCUGUUUCUCAUCUUUAGAACACUGAAGUUACUCAUGUUAUGUACUCGUGUUGUUUCUUUAUAACAAUGCUACAACGGUUUUGAUCAGUUUUUGUUUUAACUAGUGCUAAGAAGUAAGAGCGACUGUUGUUGUCUUAUAGGCUGAGCAUCAUUGUGUUUAACUGAUUCAUAGAAAGACUUAUGUUGUACUCUCCUCUCUAUUGGUCUCUUCUUUUUGCAGGUGCCAUGUUGUUAUUGAAGACCGGAGUCCCACGGGCCUGUGUCGCCAAGGCCUGUGCAAGUCGCGGGUCAGGAUUUGUCAGCACUUCUAGGGACCGCAUCCCGCGCGGGCCUGUACUGCCAAGACCCUCAUCGAACUUGUACUGUGGCGGGGGAACUGUGGCGUAUGAUACAAUUCCUAGAUUCUCCUCUUGCAAGAGUACUGCAUGGAAAAUUUUACAGACAUAGUUCACUAGUUUAUCAUUUGCUACAUAUAGUCCUUCUUAUGUUUGGACGAUUCUAUUGGCUGCUAGACUAUUACCAAAAUAAGGAAUUUGUCAGAAAGUGCAUUUUUUUAUUUGUCGUGGAUUCCAACGAUUGUUUUGGUUGUUCAUCCAAUGAUGAAGGCGAGUAAUUUUAUUAAUGGCCUGCCUAAACCGUGGGAUAUUGAGAUGUUGGAGAGCCUAAUUGUACCGUAGGCAUAGGAUAUACCGUUUAUUCGGUGUUUGGCCGUUAGCCAAUCUACCCAAAGUGAUAAGUUUUGUUGAAGGUACAUAAAAAUUGGACAAUAUAUUGCAUAAUUAGGUUACUAGGUAGCAAUACAUAUUCUAAACUGUGAACAUGAAAGCUACGGUAAGUGAGCCUAGAAUUACAAAGGUCUAAGCCUUUUCUCAGAAGAUAUGUCAUUUUAUAAGGCAAGUUGUAAGUUGUAACACUUUGCGGUAACUAGGAACCUGACAAGUCAUCCUAUGUGAUGUGAUAAUCAUUUUUUUAUUUGUGGGGAACCAUAUUAAUCUGUUAAUCAUGUUAAUUAUUUUCGAAUGUUCUCCAGCUUUACAAACUUGGGUAUUAUCUUCUAUUCUUUCAUGCUCAUCGGGUUUUCCUAUUUUCAGUGUUUAUACCAACUUGAAUUAUCUAAUCCGUAGGAAAAACGAUAUUGAAGAUCUGUAGUUGAAUAAAGAUCCUUAACCAUUGAUAAUUUGGUAUCUCUGAAAAAUGUGCAAUGAUAAAUUAUUUAGGGAAAUCACAAGUGCUCUAGAGCUAACAGGCAUGCAUAUGCUUGUUUGAAGCGAAUGCAAAAUAAAUUGAGAAAAGGAAACCACUACAUUAUCCAAUGACAUCUCAAACCUUAAGCUUGCAGAGAAAAUGUUUGGUGGAUGAUUCAUGGACUAAUGAGACAUAGUUCAGUGGGUAUAGGUGGAUGUGAAAAGAGUCUUCAAGACAUGAGCAACUUUUGGGAUUAAGGCCUCAGCCUUGUUUCUAGUAAAUGAAGAGGGAGUAACAAAGUCCCACAUCGGGGAAGAGGAACAAAAGUGUGAUGUUUAUAUAUGGGAUAACACACUCACUUGUUUAAACGAGUCAGAGAAGGAAGAGACUCCCCACGCGCGCGCCGCCGCCGCCGUCCGGCCGGCUCGGCUCGGCGUGGGCUUGGGCUUGGGCUUGGGCUUGGGCUUGGGCUUGGGCUUGGGCUUGGGUGGAGGGCCUUUGGCCCGAUAAGAAUUAUUCUUUUUGGACCAAGUUAAGCUCAAGGUAUACUUAGGGAAGAGAAUCGUAAGGGCGUUUUUGGCUGAAGGUCACGUGACCUACGUUUUGCAGCGGCCAGAGAUUGGUCUCGACAUCGAGAAAGUCCAACUCCUUCUCUCCUUCAAGAAACUCGGCGCUCGUCUUGUCGAAGCUUCUUUCUCCGACCACCAAAGCCUCGUAUCAGCCGUGAAACUCGUAGACGUCGUUGUCUCUACCAUGUCUGGCGUUCACUUCCGUAGCCAUAACAUCCUUGUCCAGCUCAAGCUUGUUGAAGCCAUCAAAGAAGCUGGUAAUGUCAAGGUAUGACAGUAAAGAUUAAGAAUAAAGAUGUACAGAUUGACCAACUAGUUUCCCUACCUAUUAAUUUUAGUAGUUUGGAUGGUUAUGGAUAUAUCUAAAAUGAAAAUAUAUAAAUUAACUAUUUCAGCGCUUUUUACCAUCUGAAUUUGGUAUGGAUCCAUCACGCAUGGGACAUGCGUUACCGCCGGGAAGAGAAACGUGUUGGAUCAAUUAUUAAUAAAGCCCAUGGCUUAUUUAAAUAAUUGUGAACUGAUGAAAAGAAAUGGGCCUCAGCCUUGUUUCUAGUAAAUGAAGAGGGAGUAACAAAGUCCCACAUCGGGGAAGAGGAACAAAAGUGUGAUGUUUAUAUAUGGGAUAACACACUCACUUGUUUAAACGAGUCAGAGAAGGAAGAGACUCCCCACGCGCGCGCCGCCGCCGCCGUCCGGCCGGCUCGGCUCGGCGUGGGCUUGGGCUUGGGCUUGGGCUUGGGCUUGGGCUUGGGCUUGGGCUUGGGUGGAGGGCCUUUGGCCCGAUAAGAAUUAUUCUUUUUGGACCAAGUUAAGCUCAACGUUUUGCCAGUUAUUUCGGGAAAAAACAGCAUACAAUUUUAUUUAAAACGACAAGUAGUUUGUCUAAAAAAUAAAAACGUCAUGCAUGUUAUCCUCUCGAAAAUUUAAAACGAGAUAAGAGAGAGUCUUGAGGAAGAAGUUUCGGAACUCAACUUCCCUCGAUCUCCGCGAGAUUCUCGCCCACGUGCAGCAGCUGUUGCGGGAAGUGGGUCUUCUCCGGCUCUUUAAAUUAUCGUCUCUCCUCUUCCUUCAUUGCUUAACUUUUUUCGCAUCGAAACCAACAGCAAAAAUCCCUUAGCGUAAGUCGUAAAUACGAGAGUGUUUCGUAAAGUUUAUAGUUCGAUAGGGCGAUCACGAGUGAGGCGUGAUUCGUCUGCCAUGGUUUUAUCCUGGGACUCUAUAUUCGUACAGUUCCGUCUCACUAACGGAGCGAAUAUUUUGAGUUAAGGAAAGAGAUCAUAUCUCGACUCCAUGUCUCUUCGCGAAUACGAUUUCUUAUCGUUCUUGUAUUCGCUUUAUACAUUCGUAUAUUUUCCUUAACAUCGCUUUUAUUCUAUCGUUUUAUAUCAGUCCGGUUUUCCGGCUUAUACAAUCUUAACUCAAAAUCGCUUUAUUUCUAAAGCUCGAAUCGGGUUGAAAAACGAUUUAUAAAAACGGGUUUUGGAACCGUGUUUGAGAUUUGCUUUCUAGCACUUCCGCGAAACGUUUAAUUAUUAUCUGAUAACGAUGUUUGCGAUUUGCUAUACGCUUAUCCGCGAAACGUUUAUGUGUUAUUCUGAAAACGUGUUUGCGAUUUGCUUUAUAGCACUUCCGCGAAACGUUUCUGUUUUAUUUCAUUAAAAAUGAAUCGUUUCAAGAUCGCUUUUUUAAGCGAGUUUGUGAAACAUUCUAAGUCUAUAAAAAUGAUUUCUGCGAACGCUUUUUAAGCGAGUUUGCAAAACGUUUUUCCAAGACUUAUAUCGAUAUGAUUUGGUUCAAACACCAAAAAUGAACAUCGAUUUUAGACUAUUAUUUUAUUUAAAAUAAUAUGUUAAAUAUUGAAUGGAGUACUAAUCCGUUUUCAUGUUUUCUCUACAGAAAAAUGACAAACGAUAAUGACACCCCCACUCCCAUGGACACCUCGGAUGUUAUUCAGACUCCACUCAACGCUGCAGCAACUGGCGUGACAACCGCUGGAAACAUCACAGCGUCAACCACUGCAGCAACAACGAGCACUUUCCUCCCUGCGGGGAAUGCUGCUGAUGAAACCAGUCGCCGUACCCUAUUCGGUGCUGGUCUUUAUCAGACGGGUUCCAUUUCAGCAACUGCAAGUGGUCCGGUGGCAGUUCAAACUCCUCCGACUGUCCCUAGUGUGUUCACUCAAGGACUGAUGCCAAACCAAUUUGAUGGCAAAGGCUUCAAAACGUGGCAGAAGAAGAUGUUGUUCUUCCUGGCAACGAUGAAGCUGGAGAAGUUCCUCCAGGAGGACAAGCCCCUUAUGCCUUACGGGAUUGAUGAUGUUCACAGCCUCGCAACUGUUGACAUAUGGGUGCAUUCCGACUUCAUCUGCAAAGGCUACAUUUUGGGUCGCCUCAUUGACCCAUUGUACCGUGUCUACUGUGAGAUCCCCACGGCGAAAGAGCUAUGGAGAUCACUAGACAAGAAGUACAGAGGUGAGGACGCUGGCUGCCAGAAGUAUGUGGUCUCAAAGUUCCACGACUUCAAAAUGGUGGAUUCAAAACCCAUCAUGGAUCAGGUGGAAGCGCUUCAGCUCAUUUGCCAUGAAAUCGCUGCUGAAGGAAUGUCCAUCUGCGAGACAUUCACAACUCUCAGCUUCAUUGAAAAGCUUCCUCCAAGCUAUGCGGAUUUCAAGAACUACUUGAAGCACAAGAAGAAGAAGAUGGGGCUCGAGGAGCUCAUCAUGAGGCUUCAGAUGGAAUCCAGAAACCGAAUUGCUGACAAGGUCACUGCUAAGGAGCACAGUGUCAACAUGGCUGAGCACAAAGGCAAAGGAAAGGCACACGCCCAUUCUCCUGCCAAGCCUUCCAAAACUGCUGCAGCCCUGAAGGCUUCGGGAAAAAACUUCAAGAACAAAGGCAUUGAAAUCAAUGCGAAUGCGAAUGUGGAGAAGUUCAGGGGGAAAUGUCACUACUGCCACAAAGUGGGGCACAAGACUGUUGAGUGUCGCAAAAAGAUCAAGGAUGAGAAGGCUCAGGCAAAUCUCACAGAGGAGGAUCUCGUUGCUGUGGUGACUGAAGCCAACAUGGUUGAAAGCAACAACCCCAAGGAAUGGUGGUAUGACACUGGUGCAACCACCCACAUUUGCACCGAUAGGGCGAUGUUCAGCACCUAUCAGAAAAGCAUGACUGAGGAGAAGCUCAAGAUGGGAAACACUGCAGUCUCCAAGAUUGAAGGACGCGGCAAUGUGAUUUUGAAGAUGACAUCUGGACAUGAGGUCACUCUGACGAAUGUGAAGCAUGUGCCUGACAUGAGGAAGAACCUGGUCUCGGGAACCUUGCUCAGCAAGAAUGGAUUCGCCACAAAUUUUGAGGCGGACAAGCUCGUGAUUAGGAAAAAUGGGAUGUAUUUGGGAAGAGGGUAUGUUAAGGGUGGACUUGUCAAGUUGAAUGUAAUGACAGUCCCUCCGAAAGUUGUAGCUUCAAAAGUUUCAAUGAAUAAGAAAGAGCCAGUUGCUUAUUUGGUUGAGUCUUUUAAUAUAUGGCAUGAAAGAUUAGGCCAUGUAAACUACAAAUCUAUACAAAGAUUAAUGAAUUUAAAUCUAAUUCCUAAAUGCAAAACAAGUAAACAAAAAUGUGAAGUAUGCGUACAGGCUAAGCUCACGAAAACGCCAUCACCUCGUGUUGAAAGAACUAAUAAACCUCUAGAUUUAAUUCACACAGAUUUAUGUGAUUUAAAAUACUUACAAACUAGAGGUGGUAAAAAGUACUUUGUGACCUUCAUAGAUGACUGCACAAAAUAUUGUUAUGUAUAUUUAUUACAUAGCAAAGACGAAACCUUAGAAAAAUUUAAAGAAUUUAAACUCGAGGUCGAAAAUCAGCUUAAAACAACUAUUAAAGUAGUUAGAAGCGACAGAGGAGGCGAGUAUGAUGGUCCAUUCAAUGCAUUCUGUAAAGAACAUGGAAUAAUCCAUCAAACUACAGCUCCUUACUCACCAGAAUCUAAUGGAGUUGCUGAACGCAAAAAUCGAACUCUAAAAGAGAUGAUGAAUGCAAUGUUGCAGGAAUCUGGGUUACCCCAGAACAUGUGGGGGGAAGCAUUGCUUACCACUAAUUAUAUCCUCAACAAAAUUCCACACAAAGUAACUGGCAAAACUCCAUAUGAAUUAUGGAAAGGUAAUUUACCUUCGUAUAAAUACCUCAAAGUGUGGGGGUGCCUAGCAAAAGUUGCAGUACCGCCACCAAAGAAGGUCACUAUUGGACCUAAAACAGUGGAUUGCAUCUUCAUCGGAUAUGCACAUAACAGUAAUGCUUAUCGAUUUCUGGUACAUAAAUCUGAAAUAUCAGACAUUCAUGAAAAUACAGUCAUGGAAUCAAGAAAUGCAUCUUUCUUCGAAAAUAUUUUUCCAUAUAAGGAAAAACAAGGUUCAAAACGAACUCGAGAAGAAAGAGACAAUGACAAAAACUCAGAAACUGAGACAAACGUCGAGAUUUCUAUAAAUGAUAUUUCAGAAAAUGAAGAAAAAGAUGAACCUCGAAGGAGCAAAAGAGCUCGAAAAGAAAAAUCUUUUGGAGAAGAUUUCCUAAUGGCAUUUUUAGUAGAAAAUGUUCCAAAAACUUUGGCAGAAGCCAUGGCUUCACCAGAAGCUUCAUUCUGGAACGAAGCGGUCAGGAGUGAAUUUGAUUCGAUCAUGCAAAAUUAUACUUAUUACAUAACGGAUUUACCACCUGGCUGCAAAGCAUUAGGGAAUAAAUGGAUAAUGACACGAAAACCUGGUGGAAAAUACAAGUCUAGGCUUGUAGUUCAAGGAUUCCGACAAAAGGAAGGCCUUGACUAUUUUGAUACAUAUUCUCCAGUGACGAGAAUAACAUCAAUAAGACUGAUGAUAGCAAUCGCAGCCUUAAGAGACCUAGAAAUCCAUCAAAUGGAUGUAAAAACUGCUUUUCUAAAUGGUGAUUUAGAAGAGGAAAUUUACAUGAAACAACCUGAAGGUUUUGUCAUUCCCGGACAGGAAGACAAAGUAUGUCGACUUGUAAAGUCACUUUAUGGGCUUAAACAAGCUCCUAAACAAUGGCACGAAAAAUUUGACAAUACAAUGAUGUCAAAUGGUUUCAAAAUUAAUGAAUGUGACAAAUGCAUAUACUACAAAACUACCAAAAAUGCGUAUGUUUUGCUAUGUCUAUAUGUAGAUGAUAUGCUCAUUAUUGGAAGCAAUAAAGACAUUAUCAAUCAAACAAAGAACAUGCUCAAAGGGACAUUUGAGAUGAAAGACUUGGGAUUAGUAGAUGUAAUUCUCGGGGUUAAAGUCACAAGAAAUUCAAACGGAAUUAUCUUAACCCAAUCUCAUUAUGCUCAAACAAUAUUAGAGAGAUUUAAAAAUUACUCUAAUAGUACGGCGAAAACUCCGUUAGAUCCCCAAAUGCACUUGACAAAGAAUUCAGGUGAAGCGGUUUCACAAAACGAGUAUGCACGUGUGAUCGGAAGUCUCAUGUACUUGACCAAUUGUACUAGACCGGAUCUGGCGCAUGCAGUAAACGUACUUAGUCGAUAUACAAGUAAUCCAGGUCAUACACACUGGAAAGCUAUAACGAGGGUACUCAAUUACUUGCGCUACACCAAAGAUUUUGGGCUUCACUAUGGUAAAGAACCAGCAGUUUUAGAAGGAUACAGUGAUGCUAACUGGAUAUCAGAUUCUAAAAACUCAAAAUCCACGAGUGGAUAUGUCUUUACACUAGGAGGAGCAGCAAUAUCAUGGAAAUCUACCAAACAAACAGUGUUAGCCAGAUCUACCAUGGAAUCUGAGUUCAUAGCCUUAGACAAAGCAGCAGAAGAAGCUGAAUGGCUUAGAAAUUUUUUGGAAGAUAUUCCUAUGUGGGAGAAACCUGUGCCAGCUAUACGCAUACAUUGUGAUAGUCAAUCAGCAAUAGCUCGGGCUCAGAAUAAUCUCUACAAUGGUAAAUCUCGUCACAUCAGAAGACGACAUAAAACCAUUAGACAACUUAUCUCAACUGGUGUAAUCACAAUAGACUACAUCAAAUCGGCUGACAACCUAGCGGAUCCAUUUACUAAAGGUUUGCCACGAGAUGUUGUUGCUAAAUCAUCAAAAGGAAUGGGUUUAAAGCCUAUAACGAAUGAGGAUGCUUGAUUGCAACCCUACCUAUCAUGACUGGAGAUCCCAAGACGUAGGUUCAAAGGGAAAACAAAAUCAAACAGAAUCUAACCAAAGCACUUGAGACAAAGUAGUCUAUUCCCAGCUCCUAAGAUGAUAAAAGUGCUAACAAAUGUGUGAAGGAUAAGCAUAAGCUUUUAAUGAUUCCAUAGCUUCUAAGCGGGGUAUUACUCAAUACUUUUCAUGGUCAAUCACCUAAUGAGUGUGAAAUGGGGCCGUUUCUAGGAGAAUGAAUGCAAGGCUAUAUUCUCUAAGUUCACUCAUGAAAACCAGGAAUAGUUCAGGGCCACAAUGAACACAAUAGAGAACUAAGUUCUACGAGAAAAUGAAGUUGCGUUAUGCCUGUUGUCUCGGUUUACAUAAAACACCGGUUGGUUCAAGACAUCAUGUUCACCUUCUGGUAAAGUAAACCCGACAGAUAUUAACUAUGAGUGGUUCAAGGCUUAAAAAUGCCACCAACUCAAACACAGUGAAUUUUUCGCAAACACUCUCGAUAAGUCUGUCUAGUCUAGUCAGGAUUAGAAUAAGUAUAGUUUUUAGAGUCUAUUGAGUCGGCAUUUAGUCUGCAUAUGUUUAGAAGAGUCAUUUCUAUUCAUGUGGGGGAUUGUUGGAUCAAUAAAGCCCAAUGGCUUUGUUCAUAUGUGAAAAGAAAUGUUUUUGGGUUUCAUUUAAAUGAAAAGCCCAGAAAUAGUAAUAGAGAAGUAUGAGUUUGUCCCACAUCGGGGAAGAGGAGCAAAAGUGAGAUGUUUAUAUAUGGGAUAGCACACUCACUUGUUUAAACGAGUCAGAGAAGGAAGAGACUACCCACGCGCUCGCCGCCGCCGCCGUCCGGCCGGCUCGGCUCGGCGUGGGCGUGGGCGUGGGCUUGGGCUUGGGCUUGGGCUUGGGCUUGGGCUUGGGCUUGGGCUUGGGUGGAGGGCCUUUGGCCCGAUAAGAAUUAUUCUUUUUGGACCAAGUUAAGCUCAACAUCUUGUCAUUUAAAAUCUCAAAAAACAACAUGCAUUUUAUUUGAAACGACAAGCAGUUUGUCUAUAAAAUAAAAACGUCAUGCAGUUCAUCCUCUCGAGAUAUUUAAACGAGAUAAGAGAGAGAGAGAGAGCGAGUCUUGGGGAAUAAGUUUGUAACUUAAACUUCCCGAGAUCUUUGCCAAAUCCCCACUAACGAGCGCACGUUAUGCAACAGUUACGGGAAGUCGCUCCUCGUCCAUCUCUUUAAAUACAACUCGUCUCUCUUCUCAUUUUCUUAACUUUUUCGAGAUCAAAAAUCCAACAGCAAAAAUCCCUCUGCGUAAGUCUAUAUUGCGAGAGUGUUUCGUAGAGUUAUAGUUCGAUAGGGCGAUCACGAGUGAGGCGUGAUUCGUCUGCCAUGGUUUUAUCCUGGGACUCUAUAUUCGUACAGUUCCGUCUCACUAACGGAGCGAAUAUUUUGAGUUAAGGAAAGAGAUCAUAUCUCGACUCCAUGUCUCUUCGCGAAUACGAUUUCUUAUCGUUCUUGUAUUCGCUUUAUACAUUCGUAUAUUUUCCUUAACAUCGCUUUUAUUCUAUCGUUUUAUAUCAGUCCGGUUUUCCGGCUUAUACAAAACGUUCGACCAAAAAAUGGAAGUUCGUCAGGCUAUUGAAGCUGCCGGAAUACCUUACACUUACGUUGUUGGCGCUUGCUUCGCCGCAUAUUUUACUGGAAACCUAUCUCAGAUGGAAACGUUACUCCCUCCAAAAAAAGAAGUUAAUAUAUACGGAGAUGGUAAUGUAAAAGGUAAAAACUUUACUCCCUCAUAAAGACAUGCUUACUCUUCUCAUUGUGAUAUUUACUUGUUAGUUUUCAAACUUAAAUGGUUUUAUCUUCCUAGUGGUGUUUGCGGAUGAAGAUGAUAUUGCGAACUACACUUCCAAAACUCUAAACGACCCACGAACUUUGAACAAAACCGUGUAUGUCAGGCCUCCGAAUAACGUUCUCACGCAUAUUGAAUUAGUUCAGAUUUGGGAAAACCUAACCGGAAAUGAAUUGGAGAAAACCAAUAUUACUGCAAAAGACUUCCUUUCCAACAUUGAACGUAAGUCCCCAAUCAUAAUGUGACAUUGUAUAAUAAUUUUCAGCUAGACAUAUUUAAUGGUCCCAGGCUUUAUGGCGAUUUAAUACAUCAACCCCAUAAAUGGUAUUUGAUUUUCUUAUAUAUAUGUAGACAUGGAGAUUCCACAGCAAGCGGGGCUAGGACAUUUUUAUCAUAUUUUCUAUGAAGGAUGUCUCACUGAUCAUGAAGUGGGAGAAGAUGAAGAAGCAUCAAGUCUCUAUCCGGAUGUGAAAUACAAGCGCAUGGAUGAUUACUUAAGAAUGUUCCUCUGAUAAUAUUUUGGUUAUAUCAGCACAUCUAUGAUAAUGUAUGCAUAUCAUAAGUUUGAAAUAUUUAUUCACAUUCAUGUUUUUUGAUGUUACUCAAAAUUAAAAUAUACUCAUUAUGAAAUACAAAUAUAUAGUAUUAUGCUUUUUCUAACAUCCUUAAUAACAACAAUGUCGACAAAACCAAGCAAUAUUAACACUGAUUGUACAUAAUUUUUUCUUUAGUUGAUUAAUGAAUUUAACAUUUCAUCAAAAAAGCAAACUGAACGCAAACAAUGAGAAUGUGAGAUACAUAUUUUUCUCUUACAAAAUUUGAUAACAUUAGAAAAAGGAAAAAUGAAAAAAACAAUUCACAACUUCCAAAUUUGAGCCAAAAUCACCAACUCACAAACACACAAUUUCAAUCUUCUACUUUUAGUUAAAUACAAAUAAAUCUCAUAUUUUUUUUUUUGAUGAAAUGUUCAAUUUAUUGAUCAUCAGGAAAAAGAAUGUUUAUGUACAGCAAUAACUAAAGAAUUCUAUCAUAACUCAAACUAUGAAACCUAGUUAUUCCUAUGGCUGCCUUGCACUAAACCAACACUGCAUUAGUCCUUUGAGUUUCUGCUUCUCAUAGUACUUUGUAGACAUGAUCCUUUGUCUUAUAGUCUUUUCAAUGAACUUCGCCAACUGAGCAACAGGCUUUGCAGGCUGUCCAUGUCGUCUCUCAUUCCGUUCUUUCCAUAGAUAAUAGAUAGAGACCUGAAAUGCUAGCCGCAAGAGUAUGGACUGCAAACUCCCCACAGACCUUGCCAUGAUUCGCGCUACAAUCUCAUUCCAGUCCGGCGAUGGAGGAGGCCGCAAGAGUGUGCCAAUCACUUGUAGCCAAAGCGUGUACGAGUAAGGACAAGCAAAGAACAAGUGAUUUCUAGUUUCAUCAGGCUCCCCACAGAACACACAGCGUUGAACCUGCCCCCAAGCUUGCAUUUUGCUACCUGUUGAAAGUCUAUCUUUAACUGCCAACCAAGCGAUAAAUGCAUACCUUGGAACUCCUUGCGCAAACCAAAUAAGCUUACUCCAGACUACCACCGGCCUUUUGCAUCUAAUCUGUUCCCAUGUCGCUGCAGCAGAGAAUUCCCUUCCAUACUCAUCGUCCUUCCUUUUCCAAAGUACCUCAUCUUGUACAUUUGUUUCCAGCACAACUCCUAACUCUUGGACUUUGACGAUCAUGUUUUGAACAGUCGUAUCUCGAGUACGUCUGAACCUCCACUCAUUCUCCACAAGGACAUCCGCAAUACAAGCGCUAGUAGCUAUGCCGAGUUCCAGCCUCCCACGGUCCCCCACGAUCUCGAUCAGUCGGCCAAUUGGGUGCCAAAUAUCUGUCCAAAAUUUCACCAACUUCCCAUCAUGAAUAUCCAUCUUGAGAAACCUUUGCGCGACAGGUCUGAGUUGGAGAAGCUUUUUCCAGACCCAGGAUCCUGUGGAGCCUUCCUUAACGUCCCAAAAGGAGACUCCCCGCAGUAAUGUUUGCUUCACCUACUUACCCCACAACGACUCUGAAUCUGUGAAGAGACGCCAUAUCAAUUUGAGUGCGAAAACCAGCGACACUUCUUUAAUUUUCCGUACUCCUAAGCCUCCUUCCUUCUUGAGGCAGCAGACCUCUUCCCACGCAACCUUCGCUCUAGUGGUGAUAUUAGGGGAUCCACUCCAGAGGAAAGCUGAGCACAUACUAUCAAUUUCAUCAAUAGAAGCUUGUGGUAGACAAAAAGCUGAGCACCAGAAGUUGGUAAUGCUAGCAAUGACUGAUUUAAUCAACUGGAGACGACCAGCGAAGGAGAGAGAUUUACUAGUCCAACUUAGUAACCUGUUCCGAAUCUUCACCAGCAGGGGAUCGUAGUCAUUGCGCGUCAUUGUCUUUGUAGCGAGGGGCAGACCAAGGUACUUUAUUGGGAGAGCGGAGACAGUAAGACCAGCUUCCCCUGCAGCCACUUCCAGCUCCUGUUUACCUCUCCCCGCUGCAAAUACAGUUGAUUUUGCCACAUUGAUUCGCAGCCCAGACAUACGUGCAAACUCUUGAAACACUGUGAGAGUACCAUUGAGUGAAGCCGGUGAGCCAUCAGUGAACACAACAAUAUCAUCAGUGAAGCUCAAGUGCGUGAGGUUAACAGCACAACACAUAGGAUGAUAACCUAUACUGUGGUUCUCCACAGCUCUGUUUAGCAGUUUAGAUAACACAUUACUAAAAUCAGCCGUUUUGUUUUGUUCGUUAUAUUUAAUAGUUGAUUUUUGAUAUGACUGAAAUGAUUUGGUCAAUACAAAUAUAAGAUUUUUUUGGUUUCAGUUGAAAUGUUAAACAUUAAAAUGGCUUACUUAAAAUAGUUUAAUUAAAAAAAUUAGCUUUUCAAUUCUUCAUUAUUAUCUGACUUAAGUAUAUAUGUUUUCAAUAAACUUAAAAAUAUUUUUUAAGGAAGCAAAAAUUAAAAAAAAAGUCCAACGUUAAAUGUGAUUUAAACAAACAAAUUUAAAGCAAAUUCAAACAUAACAUGAAAAUAAAUAAAUGUUUAAACUUAAAAUAAACUUAAAUAUAAACAUAAAAGUAAUAGCCAGAAUACCUCUAAAAACAUGAAAUUAGUAAUAGGUAUGCCUGUGAUUGUUCUUGAGACGAUCUUCGUAAUGAUUCUAUUUAAAACAAUUUAGUUGGUGACUAGUAUAAUAUAUAUAAUUCAAGUAAAGUUGAACACAUAUACAAUAUGUUUUUGUUACACAAAAUCAAAUUAAUACAAAAAGCUAGUGUCAUAUAUGUCUUCUCAAAUUUACAUGCAAUUCAAAUUUUUUUUUCAAAAGUUCGUAAAUAUAUGCGUAAUUUGUGAAGACCUUCCUAAAAAUAUGAACACAUAUAUGAUAUGCUUUCGGUGUAUUUAUUUGAAUUGUAUUAUUCAUUCCGUAAAAUUAUUAUUUAUUAAGUCUAUUUAAAACAUAUAUACUCAAUUAAAAUAUAUUAAUCAAGAUGAAAGAGUUAUAGCAUAGUAUAUGUUCGCUCGUGUAGCAUUUUAUGCAAGAUUUUUAUACUAUUUCAACGAAAUGAAAGAGUAUGUCGUGCCUUUCAAAUUUUACACUUCUCUUCUUUCACAUGUUCAUUAGUAUAUAUUAUAGUUUGUUUUACACUUCUCUUCUUUCACAUGAUAUUAUAGUUUGUAGUUGUCUUAUGUACUAACCACUGUUUCAAUUUUGUACACAUUUUUGGUUAAAAUGAAAGAAAGUUAAACAUUAAUAUUUAAUCGUCGCCGUGUGUCUUCUUUUUUACCACCGUCCGUAGUAUCAUCACCUUCUCUUCUUAUUCUUAACCCUGCGUGGUAGUUUUUUUCCUUCUCCAUUAACACAGUCACAUUUUCUUCUCUAUCACACAUUAUCUAUCUUUCACUACUUCAUCUACUCAACUUCCGCUCACUCCGCCUCAAUCACUUCCAGCUGUACAAUCGGGUAUUACCAUCACCAUCGAUAUAUUCUCUUUCAUCACCGUUGCCACCCGUCGUAACCCAUCUUCUUCUUAGCUCUUCCCACCGUCUUUUCUUUUAUUUCACCUAAUGUACUAACAAUUAAAUUCUUCUUGAUACCCAUUUUAUUCCAUCGCCAUUGGACACUAAGAAAAUAAUUAGAAGAUAUGAAUCUUUUUGUUUUUGUGUUUUAUUCUAUUAUAGAUAUAUUGGAAUAGAAUAGCAAAACUCACAUGCAAUAUCGUCACUACCAUUGGUUGUUACGUCGCCAACACCAUCUUCUCACCGUCGCCACUUAUCGUCUCAUAACCUUUUUUCCACUCUCUUCUUCUCCCUCCACCCUCGUUGAUGGUUUUUUUUUCUCAUCCAUCAACUCUAAAGACAACUCUUCCUGAUUUUUGUAAAUUAUGUAUUAUCAUUCACUUCUUGAUUUUUUCUCUUUUACUAUUUAUGAGACUUUUGGUUACGCCAUCGUGUUCUAUUUGUUUUGUUAUAUACUAUUUUUUAAACAUAGAACAUAAUUGCAUUUUUCAAAUUAUUUGUUUUUUACGCUAUAUAUUUAUCAAUUUGUUAUCAAAUUCGUACUAUUUUCAUAUGAUGUUUACUGUUUAGUUUUAUUAAUUUUCAAAAGUAAAUAGAAUGGAUCCAAUAUUUUAUACUAUUUAUAUGUAUGUAUAAGUUAAAUAAGUGCGUGUCAUCAGCCUCUUUGUAUAGUAUGAUCUGAUAGUUAACAGUGUUGUUUUAUUCCUUGCAAUAUCUGCAAGCGUCGACGUGAUCUCUUACCUUCCCUUUGUCACAUGUUAGAAAAUUAAAGGGGAUAAGCAUAAUAAUCUUGGGCUAAAUGUUACUCCCUCCGUUUUUUUUUAUGUAGGUAGCUUUUAGGUGAAUGCACAGAUAUUAAAAAAGUUAUUAAUUUUUUUAAAAGUAACAUUUGAUAUAUAAAUUAGGUGUAGUUAGACCAAUCAUAAAUAAGUAUAUAUUAUUUGAUUGGUCAUACUAUACCCAAUAAAAGUAAAAGUUACUUAAAUUUGUGAAAACUACUUAUAUUUUGAAACAAUUUUUUUUACUUAAACUACUUACAAUAAAAAAUUACUUACAAUAAAAAACAGAGGGAGUAUUAAUUUAUAAUAUCAAAUCAAUAUUGUAUCUUUUUCGUCUUUAAAAUGGGAAAAUACUUUGCAGAGAGAUUUUAUUUCGAAAAUUGCAUUGUAUUUUGUUUCUUUUGAAAACUACCUUUUUUUCUUAGGCUAGAUGAUUAAUUUAUCCUAAUUAAAUCCCCAAUAUAUUAAUAGAAAAACAUUUAAAAUUUUAUAACAUGUAGUUUGUAAUAAUUACAAAAGAGUCUUGCUAGUUGUCACUUAAUUAAGAUGUCAAUUAAUCUUAUGUGGCAUCUUAAGAAUCAAUUGAAAAAAAAAUUGGUCUAAAAUCCAAUUACUAUGGAACAUUAUAUUAACCCAAAAUAUAAAAAUCGUGUAUUUUUUCCUUAAAAAAAACUACGAAACUACCUAAUAUGAUUAACAUAUAUAUGAUAAUUAAUUAUUAUGAAUAAUAAAUAUUUGAUAACAAUUUUUGCAUCCUUCCUCAUUUUUGUUUAAUUUUAUAUUUAUUAAAAAAAAAAUAAUCACAUUAACCAUAUAAUUAAAAAUAUAAAAUUUUCCUUAUAUGUUAUAUUUUGAAUUUUUAAAACAACUUUAAAUUUAAAAAAAAAUGUUAAAAAUCCCUUUGAAAAUUUUGGGAUCAAUGGCUUAAUUUUUUUUGUUAUAACAAGAUACAAAUGAUCAUACAAUCAUAUUAAUAUGAAUUUUUAUUUGAUAUAUAUUCAUGUUAAAUAAUAAUAUAUAUAUUUUUAGAAUCAUUUAAAUUAAACUAUGUACCAUUUAAAAAUACAUAAUACGUUAAUUUUGAAAUUUGCAUUGAAAGAGUAUUCAAACCUUAAUAUUUUAAUUAUGAAAUGUGCUUCAAAAAAUACCACAUCAAAAAUUUGAGAUUAAUGGUUUAAAUUGUUUUGCUACAUCAAAUAUACAAAUGUUAAUAAAACCAUACGAGUAGAAAGUCUCAAUAAUACAUAUUUACAUUAAAAUAUACUAUAUAUUUAUGUCAAAAUCUUUGAAAUAUAAUUAAAUACCAUAUAAAAUAAAUAAAAUAAUUAUUUUGAUUUAUUUACCAUAAAUAUAUUGUAAAUAAACAAGAUGUAUUGUUUUUAUUUAUGUGAUUACUAUAGUCUCCUAUACAUUAAUUCAGAAACAAUUGAUUACUCUAGCAAGUGUAAGAUUUUAUUAAUUAAUAUUUUUUGAAAAUCUUACAAGAGAUCGAUACAACUAAGAUUUAUUUAGAAGUUAUUGAAAUCACCUAGCGAGAACAUGAAUUGCACAAACAUUUUGCUUUCCGAACCCUAGCCCCCUUUCUAUUCAUCACAACAGCAACAUAUAAUAUUUGAAAGUGUCUAUUGAUAAUCUGAUAUGGUAAAUUUUUUUUAAGUUCAGCCCAUCGUUUUUCUUAAAUGAGCCUAGAACAGUUUUUAAUGAUGAACUAAACGGACCAUAUAUAUAGUAAAAUAUGUUUUGGUUUAAAAUUUAUUGCAUACCCAAAAUAAAUUUGAACCACCAUCAUUUUUGUUUAAAAUUUUGUCACAAUAAAAUUUUUGGUUGGACAAAAAAUCUGAAUCCAAAAAACCGAACCAAGGCCGAUCCAAAGAAUAGUACUGAACUUUAACUAAAAUUGGUUAGAUAUUCGAAUGAGUUCAAAAUUUGGGUAUCUAGUGAACCGGAACCGAUCCAAACCAAGAUAUUUUAGGUAUCCGGAUAUAUGCGAACAAGAUUUAAAAAUUAUUUUACCACUCCAGAGGAAAGCUGAGCACAUACUAUCAAUUUCAUCAAUAGAAGCUUGUGGUAGACAAAAAGCUGAGCACCAGAAGUUGGUAAUGCUAGCAAUGACUGAUUUUAAAAUUUAAUAUCUAAAAGAAUAUACAAAAUAUAUAAGACAUUUUUAAGUUGUCCAAAAUACUUGAAAAUAUAUACAAAUAGUUAUAAGUACAUGUUUAAAAUAGCCUAAGGAUACUUACAAUACCUAAAAUACUUAAAAUAUCUUUUGAUUUUUCUAUCCAAAUAUUUAAGUUAAACUAAUUUUUAUGUUAAUUUUAAGUAUUUUGGCAUACAUUAUUCAAAUGUAUAUGUUAUAUAUUAUUUUUAUUUUUAGAUUUUGAAAAAUUUAAAAUAUAUAUGAACUUUAAUUUUUGAAAAAAAAUUUAAAAAAGUAUUUUGGAAAGAAAUGUUUUUGAAGUUGCAGGUUUGGUGAGAUAAUGAGUUUUAACAUGUUAAGUUUUAUAUUGUGUAUCAAACAUGAUACUUUAUUCCAUAAAAUUAUAUAGUUAUCUAAGGUUAUAUUUUUUUAAAGAUUAACAUUGAAAUAUUAUAAAAGAUUUAUCCAAUCAUAUAUUUUAAAUCAAUAUAUUUAUCUUAAUAAUUUCAAAAUUUGAAUUUCACUAAAAGAUAAAAAAUUAACUUAAGGGGUUGAUUGGUUAUGUUUGUAGUUUUAUUUUUUUGCUGUAAAAUUUAAGAUGUGAGAUUUAAUGUUGUAGAAUUUUAGCUGUAGAGUUGUAGUUGUGAGUUUUUUUAAAGGAAAAACAUGAUUGAUAAAUAUUAUUUCUACAUAUUAAUUUAUAUAUGAUUAAAUAUUUUAUGAACUGAUUAAUUAUUAUAUAAUUAUGAAUUUUUAUUUUAAGUAACAGAAUACAAUUGUUAAGUAUCAUAUAUAAUCAACAUAAGUAAGUUUUCAAAGCAAUAAAAUGAAAUAAAAGUUAGUUAUGGCUGUGAGUUUUAAAAUGUAAAGUAAAGUUUGAUUGUUUUAAUAUUUUGGCUGUGGAGAGAAAUGUACAGCGCAGCCCUCAGAGCUCUCACCAAUAAUCACAUAAACCUGUUAAGAUGUCUUUUCACAUACUGGACAAGUGUAAUUUUCAAAAUCAAAUUAAGUCAUUGUAUUUUUCAAAUUUAAAACAUAAAUAUGGUAUUUUCUUAAUUAUCCCUUUUAAAAUUGCUUACAAAUUAAAAUUUUUUUUUACAACAAAAUAUUCACAGAUUUAUAUUGACUCUGUAAACCAAAACGGUAACUCCGCAUCCAUGUGAAUGACGAACGAUGGUUGUUUUCUGGCACUACGUACUAAGCUAUCCGUCCGUUGGUUCUCCGUACGAGGUACAUGAACGAUGUCUAAGUUGAGAAAUCUUCCUUGUAAAAACUUGAUUUCUUUCAGAUAAUUUUCAAAUGUUGGCUAUUCUUUUGGUUCCGAAACCAUUUUCACUAACUGAGAAUAAUAUGUGGUAAACGUAACCUGAAACUGUCUUAAAUUCUUCAUGCAUUUCUUUGCCCAAAUCAAAGCCUCCACUUCCGAAUGAAGAGGUGAAAGACAUGUCCUUAUAUUUAUUGCCCCCUAAUAAACCAUCAAAACCCGGUAAAGUAUUACACCAAUCUUAUCCUAAAAAUAGUUUUUUAUCUUUCCAUGAACCAUCUAUAAACACCAACUUCCUGACGUUACUAAUGGGAUUCUAGUCUGCACCUGAAAUUCCUUCUUUUGAUCCGUGAGUAUAUGUACUUAUAAAUUAAACUGUUUAAUAUAAUAUAUAUACUAUUAAAAUAGAAGUCAUGACUUUUUUCAUGUGUUAAAUGGACCACUCCUAAAAAAUUGUUUACAUUUUUUUUUUUGUAUUUUCAUAACAAUAUCCUAACAAGAUAUUUAAUCCUCUUUUUAUUCCAUCAAAAUAUUAUUAGAUAUGGAUAAUUUUGAAAUUUUAUUUAUUCCAUCAAUAUAUAAUUAUAGUUGCAUAUAACAUUUAUAAUAUACUUAAUAAUAAUAACAUUUAAGUAUUCUAGAGUUAAUACCUGCAUAUGAUCUAAUUAGUAAUAAUCAUAAUUAAUAUUUAUUACUAUUAAGUAUAUUAUUUUAAAAUACAUUUCUCUGGAUUCAACCAUAUACUGGUUUUAUAAUAAAUUUCUUUUAAUAUAUAUAUAUAUAUAUAUAUACUGUAGUGAUGAAUUUUUCAGGCAUGAUUUUUCAAUUUGGACCAUUCUUUAAAAUUUUAUCAAAUUCUACAUGAAGUAAUUAUAAUAUUAUAGUAUUUAUCUUUUUUUGAAUACAAAUGAUUUUUUUAAAGAAAGCUCUAAACAAAAUCUUUUAAAAACAUUUUCAGAAGCAAUUUAAAUUUUAUAUACAAAAGUAAUUAUUUUAAAUUAUCAUAAACUAUAAUUAGAAAUUAAAAUUUUAUUUUUAGUUUUGAUUUAUGUUUGAAAAUUUAAAAUUAUAGAGAGUAUUAUAAUUAUAUAUUCAAUGAUAAUAACAAUUUCAACUGAUUAAUUUUCAAAAAUAAAAUUCUUAAUUAUCCCUUUUAAAAUUGCUUACAAAUUAAAAUUUUUUUUUACAACAAAAUAUUCACAGAUUUAUAUUGACUCUGUAAACCAAAACGGUAACUCCGCAUCCAUGUGAAUGACGAACGAUGGUUGUUUUCUGGCACUACGUACUAAGCUAUCCGUCCGUUGGUUCUCCGUACGAGGUACAUGAACGAUGUCUAAGUUGAGAAAUCUUCCUUGUAAAAACUUGAUUUCUUUCAGAUAAUUUUCAAAUGUUGGCUAUUCUUUUGGUUCCGAAACCAUUUUCACUAACUGAGAAUAAUAUGUGGUAAACGUAACCUGAAACUGUCUUAAAUUCUUCAUGCAUUUCUUUGCCCAAAUCAAAGCCUCCACUUCCGAAUGAAGAGGUGAAAGACAUGUCCUUAUAUUUAUUGCCCCCUAAUAAACCAUCAAAACCCGGUAAAGUAUUACACCAAUCUUAUCCUAAAAAUAGUUUUUUAUCUUUCCAUGAACCAUCUAUAAACACCAACUUCCUGACGUUACUAAUGGGAUUCUAGUCUGCACCUGAAAUUCCUUCUUUUGAUCCGUGAGUAUAUGUACUUAUAAAUUAAACUGUUUAAUAUAAUAUAUAUACUAUUAAAAUAGAAGUCAUGACUUUUUUCAUGUGUUAAAUGGACCACUCCUAAAAAAUUGUUUACAUUUUUUUUUUUGUAUUUUCAUAACAAUAUCCUAACAAGAUAUUUAAUCCUCUUUUUAUUCCAUCAAAAUAUUAUUAGAUAUGGAUAAUUUUGAAAUUUUAUUUAUUCCAUCAAUAUAUAAUUAUAGUUGCAUAUAACAUUUAUAAUAUACUUAAUAAUAAUAACAUUUAAGUAUUCUAGAGUUAAUACCUGCAUAUGAUCUAAUUAGUAAUAAUCAUAAUUAAUAUUUAUUACUAUUAAGUAUAUUAUUUUAAAAUACAUUUCUCUGGAUUCAACCAUAUACUGGUUUUAUAAUAAAUUUCUUUUAAUAUAUAUAUAUAUAUAUACUGUAGUGAUGAAUUUUUCAGGCAUGAUUUUUCAAUUUGGACCAUUCUUUAAAAUUUUAUCAAAUUCUACAUGAAGUAAUUAUAAUAUUAUAGUAUUUAUCUUUUUUUGAAUACAAAUGAUUUUUUUAAAGAAAGCUCUAAACAAAAUCUUUUAAAAACAUUUUCAGAAGCAAUUUAAAUUUUAUAUACAAAAGUAAUUAUUUUAAAUUAUCAUAAACUAUAAUUAGAAAUUAAAAUUUUAUUUUUAGUUUUGAUUUAUGUUUGAAAAUUUAAAAUUAUAGAGAGUAUUAUAAUUAUAUAUUCAAUGAUAAUAACAAUUUCAACUGAUUAAUUUUCAAAAAUAAAAUUUACAAAGAUUUUGUUAGAAAGAUUCAUUUUUAUUUCAAAUUAAAAGAAGAUUUUUUUUAUCCAACUUAGUGCAUUUCUCAAAUAUGAUAUUUACUACCAACUUAUUUUGAAGUACAAUGUAUUAUAGUUUUUCUUUAAAAGAAAUUAUUUACAGUAUCUCAAAAAUUUUCUUAAUCCAAUUUAAUUUGCUUUCAUAUAACUUUUAAAUUUUAAAUAAAAAGUAUGUAAAGUAAUAUUGUUACAUAAUAAAAUUUCCAAAAUAAGUUUUGUUACAAAAGUACAAAAAUUAUAGUAAUAAUAUAUAAGCCACAUAAUCAUAGCUAUUAUAAAAUUACAUAAUAUAUAACACUAAAUUACAUUAAGUUAUUAGUAAAUUUUUUUAUAUAAACUAAAAUAUUUUAGUAUAAGAAAUAAGAAAUCUGUACGGUUGUGCGGAUAAAGAUCUAGUUAUUUAAUUAAAAUAGAGAUAACCUCGGGGGAAAAACUCAGCACAAGUGGGAGAAAAGACAAAAGUCGCUCAUCUCUUUAUUGAUAGAAUAGAACCUUCUCUCUUGUCCAUACAAAGUCUCGUAAUCCAAUUCCCUUCAUUAAACGAAGAUGAAUAAGACUAUGAUGUGUUGUCCCGCAGCAUCACAGCCACGUCGUUUCCACCUCCAUGGCUACUCCUUUAGUCACCCCUCUCUUCUCUCCGUUAGCUCUUUCUUCAUCAAGAAACCGCCAUUCAUGUCCCAAGACCCUAUUCCAAUCGAAAGAUGGAAAGACUUGCGAUUCUAGUGCAACCCAGAAGCUAAACCAAACAAGAUUACGUAAAACAGAUGGACAGAGAAGGAGGUUUCUGCAAAUGGGUUCUCGAGAGAUGAGCUUCGGGAGAAAACUCUCAACUCAAGCCAUGGAUGGUGCAGGAACAGAAAACACGUCAACAACGAUCUCUCGUAAGGUGUUUGCGGCAACGCACUUGUUGGUGUCGCUUGGGAUCAUACUUGCGGCAGACCAGUUCUUGAAACAGGCUUUUGUAGCAGCGUCCAUCAAGUUCCCUAGCGCUCUCUUCGGGAUGUUCUGUAUUUUCUCCCUUCUUAUGAUAUUAGAUUCCGUUGUCCCCGCUGCUGCGACCGGUAUGAUGAACUUCUUCGAGCCUGCGUUUCUGUUCAUCCAGAGAUGGCUUCCUUUGUUCUACGUCCCUUCUCUUGUGGUUCUCCCUCUCUCCCUCAGAGAUAUUCCGGCGGCUUCAGGCGUCAAAAUCUGCUACAUUGUAGGUAUACAAUCACUCUCUUUUUCUUCUUCUAGCUUUCAUAGUAAUCUUCUGUUCAUUCUCUUUUGUUUAAUUAGUGUUAUAAAAUGCGCUAGUAUAUGUGGGGGCCUAAAGUGUAUCUAAUGUGUGAUCAAAUGCUUGUACAGCUGGUGGGUGGUUGGCGUCUCUUUGUGUAGCAGGUUUCACAGCUAUAGCAGUUAGAAAAAUGGUGAAAACCGAGAUGACUGAAGCUGAGCCUAUGUCAAAACCUUCACCAUUUUCAACACUUGAGCUAUGGAGUUGGAGUGGAAUCUUCGUUGUGUCUUUUGUUGGUGCUCUGUUUUACCCUACUUCGUUAGGGACAAGUGCAAGAACUUGUCUCCCUUUCCUUCUUUCUUCUACUGUUCUAGGUUACAUUGUGGGAUCAGGGUAAUAUUCAAAUACCAUUGUCAAGUAUCUCUCUCUCUUGAUUUUAUAUUCUCAUCGUCUUGUCUUUUUUUUUUUUUCAAGGUUGCCAUCUUCUAUCAAGAAAGUUUUCCAUCCGAUAAUCUGCUGCGCGUUAUCUUCAGUACUCGCUGCUCUAGCUUUUGGAUAUGCUUCAGGGUCUGGACUUGAUCCUGUUUUAGGUAAAGUCACACAAACAAUAGAGAAACCCUUUAAAGAACCUAAACCAGAAUGUAAAAACUAUUCUUUAAAUGGAUGCAGGAGACUACCUAACCAAAGUAGCAUCAGAUCCUGGUGCUGGUGACAUAUUAAUGGGUUUUCUUGGCUCUGUCAUUCUCUCUUUUGCUUUCUCCAUGUUUAAACAAAGAAAGGUAAAAAAAAAAAACAAACAGCAAACAUGUUCUGUUUUGCUUUAGAAAACUGGUAACGAUCUGUUUGCUUUGCCUCUUGUCAUCUUCAGCUCGUGAAGAGGCACGCAGCUGAGAUCUUCACAUCUGUGAUAGUUUCAACACUAUUCUCACUCUAUUCCACUGCUCUUGUUGGACGUUUAGUCGGUCUAGAACCAUCUUUAACGGUGUCAAUCUUACCACGCUGCAUCACGGUUGCAUUAGCCCUUAGCAUUGUAUCCCUCUUUGAAGGUAUUCUUCUCGUUUACAGAGCACAUUAAAGAACAUUUCCUAACGACUUUCUUGGAAAUUUUCAGGAACCAAUUCGUCUCUUACAGCAGCUGUAGUCGUUGUGACUGGUCUGAUUGGAGCUAACUUUGUACAAGUUGUUCUUGACAAACUGCGUUUGCGCGACCCAAUUGCUCGGGGGAUAGCAACUGCUUCAAGGUGACUCCUCUUUCACAUUUUGAAUCAGAAUUAGGCAAAAUCUGCGUUCUUUGAUAACCAUUAGUGCCGUUAAGAUCAAAAGACAUUAACUUUCUUGUUUCUAUGGACAGUGCUCAUGGACUUGGAACAGCAGCUUUGUCGGCUAAGGAGCCAGAGGCUCUUCCCUUCUGUGCAAUGUUUUUAAACCCGACCCGGACACUGAACCGGACGACUUACCGGGUUGCUGGGUCACUGGAUCGAUCGCGGGCGAACCGCGGAUUAAUAAAUGAAUUAAUUUUAUUAUAUAAUAAUAUAUCAGCUAUGUAAAUAAAAAUAUAGAAACUAAAGUUUAAUAUUUUCUAAAUAUUUUUAUAAACAUAAAAUAAUAGUUUGGAUAUGUAUAUUUUUAUGUUAAAUAACAUUUAGAAAAUACUUAACUUUAAUUUCUAUAUUUUUAUUUCAUUAGAUAUACAACAUAUCAAAAAAUAAUUUAGACUAUUUAUAAUUUUGUCUAACAAGAUAAGAGUUAUGACAUCUAAAAAAAUAAAGACAUAAAAUUUAUAAAUAUUUAAAUGUCUAAUGUGAAUAAUAAAUUAAAUUAUACAAAAUAAACCAAAAGUAAAAAAUCAUUAUAAUAAAUUAUCAAUAACGGAAAUAAACUAACACUAAAUCACAUCAACUAGUUUUGGUUCUCUGGCAUAGUGAAAUCUUCAUUAAAAUCUAAAAAUCACAAAUAUAAAACAAAAAAGGAAAAACCAAACUUUUUUUGUUAGUAUAUAACUUCUUAAUUGAAAAUUUAGAAUAUAAAACAUAAUCUACAAACAUAAUUAAAAAUUAAAAAAAAAAUAAAAAUUAUUUAUUGGUUCAACCGGUAUCGGGUUCCGGAUUUUACUGGGUUUUUGUGGGUUUCUAAAUAUUGGGUUUUUCACAAAACCCAAACCGGAUUUUUUCUGGGUUGCCGGGUUUACCGGUUCAACCGCGGGUCCGGGUCGGGUUUCAAAACACUGCUUCUGUGCGAUUGCUUAUGCACUCACCGGAAUCUUCGGAUCCUUAUUGUGUUCUGUCCCUGCGGUCAGGCAAAGUUUGCUGGCUGUCGUAGGCUGACGGGGAUGAUGAUGUUGCGACACACAACUGGGAGUCUCAGAAUCUGGCAAGUUACGUUUGUAAAUGUUGUGAAUUUGUAAUGGAAACAAAAUUUGUAAAGUUAAUAUAACACCAACUUAAAAAAAAAAAAUCCCAAUAUAUAAAAGGGAUUGACGGAUUGUUUUCGGCCUAUCCACCUGAGCAAAUUAAUUCAACCUAUCAUACACAAGUUUUAUGCCAUGUCAUCAUAUUAUUUGUCUCAUGAUUAAUUGUCAAACGCACGUUAGGGUUAUCGUUUCCUCUUCUACUCACUUCCUCUUCUCUUAUUUUAGGCUUCUAAACCUCUCCAUAAUUUCUUUAUUCCAGUUUCACUGUUUUCUUCAGAUUCUUUUCUCACAUCUGAAUCUUUUGGCAAACAAACAAAACUAUCCAAUCAUAAAUACGUAGCAAUAUUCUCUACCAAUUGGGCUUCGCUGUGAAUCGGAGUGGAAAGCUGUAGGAGUUUGAUGUGGUGUUGCCAAAACGGGGCCUGGAGAUAAAGACAAUUCUUUGGAUCGAAAGUUUUAUGUCGAUUUUGACGCAUCAUCUUAUUGCAGGUAACUUUUCAAGUAAAAUUUCCAUUGAAUCAUGGUUUCCUUUCUUUUUUUUUUCAAUCAAGCUUCCACAUACUGGAGAAAAAAGAGGAAAAUUUUUCAGAGAAUGAAGCUGUUUAGGCAGAGAGGAAUCACAAAAAUAAAGAAGAGACACAGGAGAGAGCAGAGUAUAAAACUGCUACAUUGAGAAUGAAGCAAGAGAAGGUCUUGCGAUUGCGAUGAAACCUGAGAAAGGACAUGAUGAUACACAGGUAACUUCUUCUUUCUUUGCCACUCAUCAUUUAUAGUUCGCUGACUAAAGGUCACACUACUACGUAUUAUAUUCAAAGCACAUCAAUCUAUUUUACUUAUUUUGUUAUUAACAACUUCGUGAGUGAUAUAAAAAUUUAGUACCUCUUUAAAAAUUAAGUUCUCUGUUUAAUCUUCACCAAUCAAACAUCUGGAAUUUGCGUUCUUUUGACUUGAGGAUAUGAGAAUAUCUGAGAAGAUUCUGAUUUAUUAUAUCAUCUUGAUGCCUUCUCUUAUAAGCUUCAGAAAAUAGAGUUGGCUCUCAAGUAAGUGUUGCAAUAUUUAAUGGUUUAGAUGUCUAAUACUACAGUUUUUUCUCCCAUAUUAACUUCAAUAAAUUUGAUUUUAACCGUGUGAAAAAAUAAAUGUUAACCGUGUGUUGUAUGAGUAUUUUUUACAUCUAAAGUGUGGUGCAUCUUAUCCAAACACUGAUGCUACAUACAUAUAUGUAGACAUGAUGGAGGAAGUUUGAGGAACUGUACAUGUUUUCUUGCGGCAUCUUCACAAAGCUCUCAAGUGUAAUCAGAGGAGACUUGGUCCUGACCAUAUCCAGGUUCUUUCUCGAUGUUCUCUAGAAACAUCACUUUUGUAUGUAAUUUGAUUUGCUUAUUGUGUGUACUGUCCCUUUUGUCUCAAAAGCCAUUGAUCACCCUCUUUGAGAAGUUUCGAGGGUGCAACGUGAUUCUCAGCCAAGAGAUGAAAAGCUCAUGAGAAGUGAUGAACAUCAGUUUUAAAUUCCCAAGCGCAUUCAGAAAGGGUUUAGUGCAAAUAUAUGACUAGAUGUGUAAGUUAGAUGUCUCCUUUGCUUAUUUCACGUAGAGGUACUGAAUAUUGUUUAGUUAUGGAAAAUGAGAGUGGCACAAAGACGAAAAAAAGUCUAGAUUUUGUUCGCUAUUAUUGUCCGUAGAAUCAUGUUCUCAAAUUUAAACUAACUGAUCAAGUAUUAGACUUAUUGAAAUUUGACCAAAAGAAUAUGUGAUCAGGAUGUUAAAAUAUAUCAUUGGUUCAUUUACAGAAUUGUUAAUGAUUUUAAAGUUUUCAAAAUAGACAUUUUUAGAAGGAAAAAAACAGCAGCAAUGCACUACCUUAAAGCCUUGAUGUUUAUUUGCGAAAUCAAUGAUUUACAAUAUUUUUAGAACUGGUUGCUCAUUACUUCCAUCGAAUGCCACUUCUUUUUCUAUGCAAAGCUCAUCUGCUUGAUAUUUGACUUGACAACGAUGAGUAUCUAAAAAAUCAAGGCGAGAACGGGUCAAAUAACAGAUAUAAAAUAAGUAACAAGUAUUUGUGCCCAGCCCAAGUAAUGCUAAAGCAAAAAUGAAGGUUGGACGGGCUGCUGGCAAAAUUAGCUGCAGCCUUGAAGGAUAGUUAUAUGGUGGCUUCAUUACAUUCUAUAUUGAAGUCAUCAUCAUUAGGUGAUUCUAUUAAGUGACUCUUUCUUCAUGAAGUAUGCUGCAAAAGUUGUAUGCUUUUAUUAACGUACUUAUUAUAGUGAUUGGUAAAAUGUUGAAUAAUUUAUCUUUAUUAUGAAUAAAUCAUGUUGAUUCAGUACUUGGAGAACUUAGUUUAACGCCUAAACUUUGUCUUGAUCCUAUCAAUGUGGGUGAAGCUAAGGUGUUAGUUGAAGCUGAAACUGGAUAAAUUUCCCCUGAAGCUUAUUACUCUUGAUGUUAAAAAAGAAAAAAUGUUGAUUAUACAUGGAUUCCAUCUACGUGUGAGAGGUGUAGUAACUUAGACCAUAAAGCAAAGAGAUGCUUCCUCCCUCAUAAGCCUCCACAUGAUUCAACUGUACCUUCAAAUGCAUAAACUAUUAGUGUUGAGAUUCCGGUUGUAGGUAUUGAUCUUAUCUUAUAACAGAGUGAUAAUGCUACCUCGUCACCACCAACUACCCUUCAAAGGAUCUAAAGGCCAAUAAAAACUUCUUCUUUACCACUUCUGAAUCUAAUGCCCAUGUGUCUCAAGAUCAUACCAAAGAGAUUGAAGGUCUCCAAUCCGAAUCUAACAUUAAUCUUGCCUUGCAGCCUGUUUGGAGGUUGAUCCUCAGCUUCCUUUGGCUCCUUCGGAUGCUACUAUGAACAGCCAUGGUACAAGUGAAUAAAGGUUCACAACUAUCUACUUUUCUUCUCGUUUUUAGGAGGAGAAUCAUGUUGGUUCGAUCAUCUCAUUUAACACUCUCCCAAUACAUCAUCCAUUGUAGAAUUUUCUCCAUCAAGCAAUAUUAACAAUGAGGUCCAUGAAACAUUGGUUCUUGAUCCAUUAACCACAAUUCCUCAAGCUAGUACAUUUGAGAGUCUUUCUCGCUUCACAGUAUUAUGAAAAUGUGGAUGAAGUUGAAAUAGAGUCAUCUAGCUCACUCAGCUUGACAAGAGGUAGGAGGGAGAUAAACCCUCUUAUAAAUACCAAGCCAUAGAAUGGAAGAUGGUCUGAGGGAGAAGAAAAUAUGGUCAAUGUGGUCAUGGUUAUUAUUAGUAGAUAUCGUAUUUUAUUGCAUUGUUGGCUCUUCUAAUCUCUACCUUUAUUGUUUCAUAGAUUUGGGAUUGGGUCUUUCAUGAAAUUAUUUCAUGCAAAUUUUACCAAACUAAUACCUUUCGUCUUAUCAAAUAAUAGUUUACGUUUUUAAUUUGAAAAUCUUUAGUCAAAAACAGUAAAUGUUUAUAUAUACAAUUGUCAUAUGAAGUUAUAUGAUAUAUAAUUUUUAAUUUAUAAAUAUUAUUUAUUAUAUAUAUUUAAUUUUUAAUUCUUUUGUUAUUGAAAGUUAUAUAUAGUAAAUUUUAUUUUAAAUUUGAAAUAUUAUUCUUUUAAAAAUUAGAAAUAUAUUAAUUAUAAAAUAUAGUUUUAAAAUUAUAAAUUUAACAAAUGGAAUAUAAAUAUAUUUUUUGAUAUUAUUAACUAAAAUUAAUAAAUUAUAUAAAAUAAUUUUUAGUUUUAUAUAUAUAAAUGAUAAUGUUUUAUCAAAAGUUUCAUAUAAAAACAUUGAAUAAAGAGUAUCUGGAGAACAGUUGCAGCUUAUAAAUGCUACUAUAAAUGGUUUAGUAGUUAGUUGAUUGAAUAAUUAGUAAUAUUAUGUUUUUACAAAUGCUUUCCAUUGAAGACCACAUAAGGCGAUAAUUAGCAACAUCAGAAGAAGCUAAAUGAAAUGGCACGUGCGACGUAGGAUCAUUUCUUUAAUGCUACACUUUGGGGUCCAUGUUCUUGUUGAUCCUAGAUAUCAGGUAACAAAAAAAAAAGCUCUUGUGAAAAGCUAGCAGUGCCGGACUAACAUUUUCCGCUGCCCCAAUCAAAAUUUAAAAUUAUGCCUUUGUACAUAUUUUAUCAAAAUCAUAAAACAGUAUAAAACAAUUUUAAUUUUUAUUAAAUAGAAAUGGAAGUCUAUAGUUUGUUCAGGAAAUAAAACUGUGAUAAAAAUAUUUAUUGGUAAAAUUAAUUUUGUUUUUUAUUUUUUUAUGCAAAAUUAUCCACUAGAUUUCUACAGUCAUUUUUUUCAACCAUCCAUUAUAUGUCUAUCAUAAAAAUCAGUAAACACAAUCCAUAAAUAUUAUCGUAAUAAAGUGAACCUAUCAAGCUUUUAUCACAUUUCGAAAACUACGAACUAACAAACAUAUCUUCUUACUACGUAAAGGAUUAGUUGAAAAAACUGAAACAUUAAAACUAAACUAUAUAUUAAGGGUUAAGAGAAAAGAGGACAAAAAAAAAUUAGAAUAAAAUAAAAUUAUGCAAAACGAUGCAAAAGAAUAAAUUGAAACCAAAAGAAAAUCUGUUUUGUUGCUAAUUUUAAUUAGAGUUUGAAUUAUCAUCUAAAAUAGAAAUUUACUAAUAUAUUUAAUAUAUAACAAAUUUAUAAAUAUAGUUGAAAAGUUCAAAAAAUUUUAUAUAAAAAUGCCUUAUAAAUAAUAUUUUAACAAAAAAAAUUACAAAAAUUUAUUUGUUUAUAGGUAAUAAUACGAAUAUUUUUUUAAAAAUAUGCCCUAUUAUUUUGGAUGCCCUAAUCCACGGCUUGGGUGGCUUACCCUCCGGGCCGGCCCUGAAAGCUAGUAAGGGCUCUUCUUCAAAAAUAUAUUGGUAAUAUAUAUCUCUUUUUCAGUUCAAAAAAAUAUAUAUAUAUAUCUUUUGCAGAUAGCCAAGGUGAUAAAAAUAUUUAGAUGUAUUUCCUUUUUGAAGAAAAUAUAUCUUUUUUCCCUUGAAUGUUUCAUGCAGUUGUGGAUUUCUCUCUGAUCCAGAAGGCAUCAAAGGCAAGUUUUUACCAGUGCACUUCUGUAACUCGAAAUCAAUAUGUAUCUAUGUUAGAUACGUACUAAAAUACAUGAGUAUGAUCAACAGGAAGAAACCUUAAUUCAUUCUUUUGCUUAAAGGUUGAUUUUCGGUUUUAAUCUACUUUUAUCAAUAGAUACUUUUAUCAAUAGAUAAAAGCAUUGUACUAACUUAAUUGUUAUUGCUCUGCUAAUAAAUUUUCUACAUUACAUGCUUUUCUUUUUAUAUCUCCACACAAAUUACAAACAUGCAACACCGUCCUUUUCUCCAUGAAAAUCCGCGGAAACAAAGCAUAAAGAAAGAAAGAAGAAGAAACAACCAAUGGGUUUAUCGACGCGUUCUGUUUUGCUUAUUUGUUUUAGGCUUUAGCAGCUUCUGUAGGAGCAUUGGCUUUGUUGGCAAUGAGCUGCUCAUAGAGAUCUCUGAUUUUCAAUCCAACAAUGGUCUGGAAAAGACCAGUUCCGUUGUUGCUACCAGGGAAGUCAGCAUGUUUGAGCAUUUGUUGAGUCACUUCACCGUAGAAUUUGGUCGAGAGGUUGCUCAGAUGGCUCUCCACGUAAAUCAGCUCGUCAAGUCUAUCGAAUUGCCCAUCCAUCUCCACAACAGAAACCUGAAAGAAAGAACAAAUGUUCAAACCAAGAUCUAAAGAAACUUAAACUUAACUCAUUCUGCAACCUAAAGAGACAAAUGAAUGCACCUCAUUGUCGAAGUAGGAAUCAGGUUGGUAGUUGAACUUGAUGCCAGGGUAGGAGCAGGUGAGUUUGCGACCACAAGGGAUCCACGAGAUGGUUGAACCUUCAUCGAAUAGGUAAACCGGGCUGAAGUACUUAACACCUUCUUUCAUUAUCAAUCUCACUCUCAACACUUUGCCUUCAUUAUCAUCUGGAAUCAACUGCGUUGGAAGCACUUCUAUCACCGCAUCCGCGUACUGCUUUUGUGGGUCUGUAUAAGCCAUUCAUAGAUUGUUAAACCAGAUGAGUUAAUAUUCUAGGGAAAUAUAAAACAUAAACUAUAAUUAUACCGAUGAAUGCAUCGAAAUCGGGCUUUCGUGCUUCGAUACUUGCUUUGAUGCUCUCUAAACUGUGACCUCUCUCAGCCAUGUCCCUCUAUUAUCAUCAAACCGUUACAAAAGUCCAUAUCAACGACACAUUAACGGUAACGGUCGAGUGAAAUGAAAUAUGUAUAUAGAUAAAGAAACACACCUGGAUUUUCCAAGCGAAUUUGACCUCAUUGCUAAUGUCUAGGUAGAUACUGAAGUCCAACAACUCUCUUACUCUCUCAUCAAACCUUCACAAGUAGAUAAAACAUUAUUAUAAAAUAUUGGAAUGAGCAAUGACCGAAACUAUAUACUUAACUAUUCGAAUAAAACUUUUAAUUCUUGUCAAACUACAAGACUUUCAUGCAAAGGUUCGAAGAUCCGUAUUUGAACCCUCAUACUGAUUCGUAUAUAAUAUUUAAUAAGUCUAAGAUUCUUAAUCAUCCAAAUUCCGACAAGAAAGGAGACUUCCAAACUCGAAACUGAUACGUUUUGUAUUGGUAAAACUUACAUUGGAUGAAGACCUUCGAUGACGAGAAUCUUGGGAGGCUGAAUAAGCUCAGGUGCGUCGAGAAGUCCUGUGACGUGAUUAUAAAUAGGUUUCUCGACGGCGAUGCCACUCUUGAGAGCUUUGACUUGCUCAUACAUGUUUUUUUUAAUUCGAAUGGUUUAUUGGCAUGAAGACAAUGUUGCUAUAUAUUUUGGUGAUAUCAAACUCCCCAGUUUUGAUUCUAUGGUCAGAUACGCAGUGCUAUUGUGUUUAAAUCGAUUUUUAUAAUCAACAUUAGACCUCUUUUAUUCAUAUGAACUUCUUCAAUUUGAGGUUAUAUGGUGAGAAGAUACGAAGUAAUAAACUUGGUAAUUAUAAUUAUAAGCUCGAAAUAGGUUCAGUUAAUGAAGUAUUAAAGGUGAAAUUAAACAACUAAUCAAUCUUAAGUCAGUAAUAAUAGUUGGUUUUAUGCAUAAACGUUAGAAAAGUGAAGUGCAGUGAUCCUUCAAUACCUGCCUCGCGAGAUCAAACGCUCCACUGUUCUUAUAGAUCAAAUACAUAUUGUGAGCAGCCUCUUUACGUAGGUCACAAUUAACAGGUUUACGCUCUUCUGCAACAUUUGGAUCUUCAUUCGGAAGUUCUGGUAUUGGAUAUUCUUUCUCAUAAAACCGCUAUAACCUUCUCGUAGCACGAAGCACAAGUCCUACGUGAUGAUACUCCUGAGCAACGUUAUACAACGCCACUUGGCUGUUACUGCAGAUUCUGAGAUUGUUGUAUAGACAUGCAUCUUGAGUCGGAAACCGAGAGUUAAGUUGAUUAAAGCAGCUCCGGAAAAAAAAGAUGGAGAAGGUGAAACUUUAUACUACUUUUUAAACCCUGACCGAAAAAAAAUCGCGUAUAGAAAGCUCUCUCUAACGUGGAAUGUUUUAGUUAAUUGCAUGUACCAAUCAAUCACAAUCACACAAGGGUUUCGUGGUGUAGUUGGUUAUCACGUCAGUCUAACACACUGAAGGUCUCCAGUUCGAACCUGGACGAAGCCAUUAUUUUAUUUUUCUUUAACAAAACGAAAAUACUCAAAUUUCGUAUUAACAAAAAUAAUCGCCGUUGCCGGGGAUCGAACCCGGGUCACCCGCGUGACAGGCGGGAAUACUUACCACUAUACUACAACGACCUUGUUGUUUGCUAAUCAGACUUUUAUAUUUAUUUUCUAUAACGUGAGUUUCUCUAAGGUUCUGUUCUGUACGUGGUUAUUGCUGUUGAUGAUAAUGUGGCUUUCCAUAUUUGUAGAUGAGCUAAAGAAUUAUUUCUGUGUAAAUGGUGACAUAAUUGAGAAUCAGUUUAUGUAUGAUCACCACACUGGAAAGUCAAGAGGGUUUGGUUUUGUAACCUAUCUGACUGAAGAUUCUGUGGACAAACUUUUCUCUGAUGAGAAAAGUUCAUGAGUUCAGUAACAAACAGGUAACCCUUUCUUUUACUUAUGUUUUCAAGUUUAAGCUAAAGAACCGUAGUAUAUCUCAAGCACUUACAAUGGCUCAAUCGGUCGAUAUAAAAAGGGCUGAACCAAAGAAAACCGGAGGAGAUAACAGCUUUAGCUCCUACGGUGCUAGUGGAAAGUAUGAUCAGGAAGAUUGUUAUGGUGGGAAAGAAAAUGGAGAUAACAUUAUGUAUUCGGGUAAUGGGGAUUAUAUUGGUUUUGGAGCUUAUGACGUCUUCAUUAGUCUUAACUCUUAACGUUGCAUAUACGUUUAUUCCAAGCAGUACCGGACUAACAUUUUUCACUGCCCCAAUCAAAAUUUAAAAUUAUGCCUUUGUGCAUAUUUUAUCAAAAUCAUAAAACAGUAUAAAACAAUUUUAAUUUUUAUUAAAUAGAAAUAGAAGUCUAUAGUUUGUUCAGGAAAUAAAACUGUGAUAAAAAUAUUUAUUGGUAAAAUUAAUUUUGUUUUUUAUUUUUUUAUGCAAAAUUAUCCACUAGAUUUCUACAGUCAUUUUUUUCAACCAUCCAUUAUAUGUCUAUCAUAAAAAUCAGUAAACACAAUCCAUAAAUAUUAUCGUAAUAAAGUGAAGCUAUCAAGCUUUUAUCACAUUUCGAAAACUAUGAACUAACAAACAUAUCUUCUUACUACGUAAAGGAUUAGUUGAAAAAACUGAAACAUUAAAACUAAACUAUAUAUUAAGGGUUAAGAGAAAAGAGGACAAAAAAAAAUUAGAAUAAAAUAAAAUUAUGCAAAACGAUGCAAAAGAAUAAAUUGAAACCAAAAGAAAAUCUGUUUUGUUGCUAAUUUUAAUUAGAGUUUGAAUUAUCAUCUAAAAUAGAAAUUUACUAAUAUAUUUAAUAUAUAACAAAUUUAUAAAUAUAGUUGAAAAGUUCAAAAAAUUUUAUAUAAAAAUGCCUUAUAAAUAAUAUUUUAACAAAAAAAAUUACAAAAAUUUAUUUGUUUAUAGGUAAUAAUACGAAUAUUUUUUUAAAAAUAUGCCCUAUUAUUUUGGAUGCCCUAAUCCACGGCUUGGGUGGCUUACCCUCCGGGCCGGCCCUGAAAGCUAGUAAGGGCUCUUCUUCAAAAAUAUAUUGGUAAUAUAUAUCUCUUUUUCAGUUCAAAAAAAUAUAUAUAUAUAUCUUUUGCAGAUAGCCAAGGUGAUAAAAAUAUUUAGAUGUAUUUCCUUUUUGAAGAAAAUAUAUCUUUUUUCCCUUGAAUGUUUCAUGCAGUUGUGGAUUUCUCUCUGAUCCAGAAGGCAUCAAAGGCAAGUUUUUACCAGUGCACUUCUGUAACUCGAAAUCAAUAUGUAUCUAUGUUAGAUACGUACUAAAAUACAUGAGUAUGAUCAACAGGAAGAAACCUUAAUUCAUUCUUUUGCUUAAAGGUUGAUUUUCGGUUUUAAUCUACUUUUAUCAAUAGAUACUUUUAUCAAUAGAUAAAAGCAUUGUACUAACUUAAUUGUUAUUGCUCUGCUAAUAAAUUUUCUACAUUACAUGCUUUUCUUUUUAUAUCUCCACACAAAUUACAAACAUGCAACACCGUCCUUUUCUCCAUGAAAAUCCGCGGAAACAAAGCAUAAAGAAAGAAAGAAGAAGAAACAACCAAUGGGUUUAUCGACGCGUUCUGUUUUGCUUAUUUGUUUUAGGCUUUAGCAGCUUCUGUAGGAGCAUUGGCUUUGUUGGCAAUGAGCUGCUCAUAGAGAUCUCUGAUUUUCAAUCCAACAAUGGUCUGGAAAAGACCAGUUCCGUUGUUGCUACCAGGGAAGUCAGCAUGUUUGAGCAUUUGUUGAGUCACUUCACCGUAGAAUUUGGUCGAGAGGUUGCUCAGAUGGCUCUCCACGUAAAUCAGCUCGUCAAGUCUAUCGAAUUGCCCAUCCAUCUCCACAACAGAAACCUGAAAGAAAGAACAAAUGUUCAAACCAAGAUCUAAAGAAACUUAAACUUAACUCAUUCUGCAACCUAAAG
rnacentral:lncRNA from 1 species